CUUAAAUUGAAGAGUUUGAUCAUGGCUCAGAUUGAACGCUGGCGGCAGGCCUUACACAUGCAAGUCGAGCGGAAACGAGUUAUC
rnacentral:rRNA from 1 species